GUCUACGGCACUACCACCCUGAAUGUGCCCAAUCUCAUCAAAUCUCGGAAGCUAAGUAGGGUCUGGCCUGGUUAGUCCUUGGAUGGGAAAAUGCCAAUCAACUGUGCAUU
rnacentral:rRNA from 1 species